GCGGCCAUGGCGGAAUUGGCAUACGCGCACGUUUGAGGGGCGUGUGGGAGACCGUACGAGUUCAAGUCUCGUUGGCCGCACCA
rnacentral:tRNA from 1 species